rnacentral:rRNA from 1 species
CCUACGGGGGGCAGCAGUGGGGAAUAUUGCACAAUGGGGGAAACCCUGAUGCAGCGACGCCGCGUGAGUGAAGAAGUAAUUCGGUACGUAAAGCUCUAUCAGCAGGGAAGAAACACUGACCUUACGGUCAGCAGACGGUACCUGAGUAAGAAGCACCGGCGAACGACGGGCCAGCAGCCGCGGUAAUACGUAGGGGGCAAGCGUUAUCCGGAUUUACUGGGUGUAAAGGGAGCGUAGACGGCAGUGCAAGUCUGGAGUGAAAGGCGGGGGCUCAACCCCCGGACUGCUCUGGAAACUGUACGGCUGGCGUGCCGGAGAGUUAAGUGGCAUUCCUAUUGUCGCGGU